ensembl:lncRNA
AUGGACUGCUCAUCAGAAGAAACCCAUAGAUCAGAUAGUCCUUAUUGGUUGUAUAGGGGCCCUCGUACCCCGUCGCCAUUGUCUUCCCCCGCCAUGGACGACUCUGUGUCGAGCAAUGAGGACAUUGAAAACCAGAUGCCUGAUGGUAUGUCCGUCUUUAGUACGCCUGUGUCUAACUAUGUCGAUAGUUGUGGAGAUGCGGUACUGCUUAAUGCUCCACUCAAAAGAACGAGGCCUGUUUUAGGCUUGAGAGACCGGAGUGCCGGGGAUUCAUUCACCCACGUUGGUGAAUACGGCUUGGGGUAUGUAAUAUCAUGGGUCGAUGGCUGUGUUAUUUUGAAAGUUAAAGAUUGUGCUACAGAGUGGCGGAUGAACGUUCACGAGUGGAAUUUUUUCUUGGAGAAUUUAUGCCCCAUGCUAGACGGCGGCGAGGGUACAUGGCAUGGGGGACCCCAUGAAUACCGUUGGACCUUUCAGUAUGAACCGAGGAUUCAACAUCGUUUGGCAUGCACCUUUCAGUAUGAAUCGAGGAUUCAUCGCAUGGAUGCAAACUAUCAUACGAAGAGCCCACAGGAUUUCAUUUUUUUCAUACGCGGUGUUGAUACAGACGAGCUACCACAGUGCUAUGAUAUGCAUUGCAUCGGUAGCUCUCCUCUACGCACCAGUGUUUUAGAAGCUGCUGAUUAUUUUGAUAAUGUCUUUUUCAUGCAGUGGGCUGAUCUGUCUGCACUACGUGGAAUUUUUGCAGAGAUUGAUUCUUUGGCUAAGACGAAUGAAGAACCAUGGAGCACAACUGAUGAUGAAUGCCGAAUGUGCCUGUUUGAGUCGUCUGGGUUUGAUGAUGGGGUACAUGCACAGGUCAAUGAUGAACAUGUUCAAGGUGGGGGUGUGGCUAUGGAGACUGCUGAUUUAAAGGCUGUGCAACCCGGACCCCACUGGCUUCAAGAGUAUGCCGUCUAUCUGACCGGAUUGAAUCUGACCUUCCUACACGUCGGAGAGGACAGUGAGCUGGAGGUGGACACUGCUAUGAGAGACGACGGAUGGCCUGUAUCAACACAGAUCCGUUUAAACCCUGCAUCGCUGGCUGUUCUGCGAUUUACCACGGGGGUCUGUGUGGUGGCCAUCAUCAGCCAUCAGAAGCAAGCGGACUGCUGGGGAUGCCAGUGUGAUUGCCCAAGUCAACGACGCCAUUCAUGCCUGCAGGGAGCGACACAUCAUCACUACGAAUCCCACUACCAUGACAUUUGUGUCAUCCUGGACAGACAUCCCUUCCUGUUACUUUUAGAAACUGUUCUAAAGAAGACUACAGGGUUGACUGUGUCCCCCGGAAAAAUCUAUGGUGUGGUCGAAUCUUAUCUAUGUGAUUUAAUAUGCAAUACCUAUAAUACAGAAAAACUGGAUUCAUUGACCACCGAAGGAGUGUCCGAUGAACAUCUGCUUCUGAUACAUGAAGCCAUACAAAUGUGGCGCCCUACAUUGUCAUUUUGCAAACCAAAGCCUGGUGGUGGUGGGUGGCGUUUAUAAUGGGGGUGUUGUUUUCUUAUGCGUAUGAUGCGGAUAGCAAGAUUGUAUCGGAUAGACUAUCCGUUUUGAUGUAUGCUGCCAUAGAAAAUGAUACAUAUGUCCAGCAUAAUGCCUAUAUCAAAUGUACGUAUAAGGGUUGGAAUGAUCUGGUCAUGAAAUUCUUGUGUGAUAAACCUACUGAUCAAAUGUUAGCUGAAGUAUUUACCCAUUUCCCCGAUGGUGACUGUUUUACCGUCGGACAUGUCAUGUGUAUAUGUGCUUUUGUAUCGGAUGUCUUGAAGUUGAAUAAUGCCUCAAACGCCGAGGGUAUUAGAACUGCUAGAAUGAUGGCUUGUAAAAUGGUGCAGAAAAAUAAAAUUUCAUGUAAACUUUAUCUGAGAAUUGUUUUGAACGGCCAGACAUUUUAAAUAAAAGGAUGGAUAACUCUGAGCAGUGUUUCAGUAUUCGUUUUUUGUCGCAGACAUACGACAUGGAUAAACGGCUGCAUAAGACUUAUUAUGAUCCCUCCGGACCAGGGGGUUACGGCGGCAUCAAUAAACUAAGAACGGCC